GACGAACGCUGGCGGCGUGCUUAACACAUGCAAGUCGAACGGAAAGGCCCUGCUUUUGUGGGGUGCUCGAGUGACAAACGGGUGAGUAACACGUGAGUAACCUGCCCUUGACUUUGGGAUAACUUCAGGAAACUGGGGCUAAUACCGGAUAGGAGCUCCUGCUGCAUGGUGGGGGUUGGAAAGUUUCGGCGGUUGGGGAUGGACUCGCGGCUUAUCAGCUUGUUGGUGGGGUAGUGGCUUACCAAGGCUUUGACGGGUAGCCGGCCUGAGAGGGUGACCGGCCACAUUGGGACUGAGAUACGGCCCAGACUCCUACGGGAGGCAGCAGUGGGGAAUAUUGCACAAUGGGCGGAAGCCUGAUGCAGCAACGCCGCGUGCGGGAUGACGGCCUUCGGGUUGUAAACCGCUUUCGCCUGUGACGAAGCGUGAGUGACGGUAAUGGGUAAAGAAGCACCGGCUAACUACGUG
rnacentral:rRNA from 1 species